rnacentral:tRNA from 1 species
GGGGAGAUGCCCGAGUGGUUAAAGGGGGCAGACUGUAAAUCUGUUGCCGUAUGGCUACGUUGGUUCGAAUCCAACUCUCCCCACCA